rnacentral:rRNA from 1 species
UACGAAGGGGGCUAGCGUUGCUCGGAAUCGCUGGGCGUAAAGGGUGCGUAGGCGGGUCUUUAAGUCAGGGGUGAAAUCCUGGAGCUCAACUCCAGAACUGCCUUUGAUACUGAGGAUCUUGAGUUCGGGAGAGGUGAGUGGAACUGCGAGUGUAGAGGUGAAAUUCGUAGAUAUUCGCAAGAACACCAGUGGCGAAGGCGGCUCACUGGCCCGAUACUGACGCUGAGGCACGAAAGCGUGGGAGCAAACAGGG